rnacentral:rRNA from 1 species
AGGAUUCCCCUAGUAACUGCGAGUGAAGCGGGAAAAGCUCAAAUUUAAAAUCUGGUGGUCUUUGGCCAUCCGAGUUGUAAUUUAGAGAAGCGACUUCCGCGCUGGACCGUGCACAAGUCUCCUGGAAUGGAGCGUCAUAGAGGGUGAGAAUCCCGUCUUUGGCACGGACACACCAGGGCUUUUGUGAUGCGCUCUCGAAGAGUCGAGUUGUUUGGGAAUGCAGCUCAAAAUGGGUGGUGAACUCCAUCUAAAGCUAAAUAUUGGCGAGAGACCGAUAGCGAACAAGUACCGUGAGGGAAAGAUGAAAAGCACUUUGGAAAGAGAGUGAAACAGUACGUGAAAUUGUUGAAAGGGAAACGCUUGAAGUCAGUCGCGUCGACCGAGACUCAGCCUUGCCUUGGCUUGGUGUACUUCUCGGCUGACGGGUCAGCAUCAAUUUUGCCCCUUGGAUAAUGGCGAGGGAAAUGUGACACCUUUACGGUGUGUUAUAGUCUCUCGUCGCAUGCAAGGGUUGGGAUUGAGGAACUCAGCACGCACCUUUGGGUGUCGGGGUUUUGCCCACGAUACGUGCUUAGGAUGUUGGCGUAAUGGCUUUAAACGACCCGUCUUGAAACACGGACCAAGGAGUCUAACAUGCCUGCGAGUGUUCGGGUGGAAAACUCGUGCGCGCAAUGAAAGUGAAAGUUGGGACCUCUGUCGUGGAGGGCACCGACGCCCGGACCAGACCUUCUGUGACGGCUCUGCGGUAAAGCAUGUAUGUUAGGACCCGAAAGAUGGUGAACUAUGCCUGAAUAGGGUGAAGCCAGAGGAAACUCUGGUGGAGGCUCGUAGCGAUUCUGACGUGCAAAUCGAUCGUCAAAUUUGGGUAUAGGGGCGAAAGACUAAUCGAACAUCUAGU